rnacentral:rRNA from 1 species
CCGGCACGGGUGGACGUAACACGUAUCCAACCUGCCGUCUACUCUUGGCCAGCCUUCUGAAAGGAAGAUUAAUCCAGGAUGGCAUCAUGAGUUCACAUGUCCGCAUGAUUAAAGGUAUUUUCCGGUAGACGAUGGGGAUGCGUUCCAUUAGAUAGUAGGCGGGGUAACGGCCCACCUAGUCAACGAUGGAUAGGGGUUCUGAGAGGAAGGUCCCCCACAUUGGAACUGAGACACGGUCCAA